GAUGAACGCUGGCGGCGUGCCUAAUACAUGCAAGUCGAGCGAACAGACGAGUAUCUUGUUCCUCUGACGUUAGCGACGCACAAGUAAUUAACACGUGGAUAACCUACCUAUCAGACUGGGAUAACUUCUAGAAACCGGGGCUAAUACCGAAUAAUAUAUUGCACCCGAUGAUUCAAUAGUGUAUGACUGUUUUGCUGUCAAUGAUAUAUCUAUCCGCGCCGCAGUCACUAGUUUGUUCGGUAACGGCUUACCAAGGCGACGGUGCUUAGCCGACCUGAGAGAGUGACAGGCCCCACUGGAAGUGAGACACGGUCCAGACUCCUACGGGAGGACGCAGCAGGGACUCAUGCGCAAUGGGAGAAAGCAUGACGGCGCAACGCCGCGAAAGUGAUGAAGGCAUUCGCAUCGUAAAAUUCUGUUAUUAGGGAAGAAGAAAUGUGUAAGUAACUAUGCAAGUAUUGACGGUACCUAAUCAGAAAGCAACGGCUAACUCCGUG
rnacentral:rRNA from 1 species